UCUCUAUGUACUCCAUCACGUUGACCAACCAUUGAACCAACUGUGCAUCACUCCACACCACAGGCUCCAAAUAAGCAUAUUGAUCCUUCUUUGAUCCUCUUGGCUUGAAUGACCGGAGACCUCAACUUGUCUCAGAAAACAUGCCUACUCUUAAAAGGAAAGUGAAAGAACAUGAAAGAAAAAACAAGGAAAUAGGCAGAAAAUGUUUUAAAAUCAAUCAAAUGUUUUCAGGAAAAAAGAAGAAAAUAAAUGCAGCAGAGUUAGAUCCUGUACCCAGCACCUCUGAUCCUGUACCCAGCA